GAGCGGUGGGUGGCAAUUAAGCAAGCACUGCCAAAAGAUAAGUCUCCUGCGUGUCCGGCCAAACCCCCAAAGCAGCGGCCCAAGGUCUCUGCAGCAGCAAGAAGCUGGCAAGGGGGUGAAAACAAAAUGGGAAAAUUAUCUAGCGGCAACAAAUCUCCUCAUUACUGCUGGAAGAGAGUAGAGAUUUGGACGUCCCCUGUUUUGCUGUCCCCCAUCCACCUAAUCCCUCAUGUGCCCAACAUCAAUACGUCAUUCUCUCCAUCACGGGUUAUGUCUCUUUAUCUCUUUCUUACCUUUUUCUUUUUCCUUUUAUUAAUUUAAUUAUUCGAUGACAAUAAAUAAAGAUUCUUAACUCAAUCAUUUUUACAAAAUAAAAGAAGAAUCCUAACAAUCAACAUCCAACUAGGUAUAAGUUUAAUAUGCCGGUCACUUUCAUGUCCAACCCUGAGAAAAGAGAGGAGACACAUCCAAAGCAGCAUUUGAACUUCCAGAGUUAAACCCCAUCAGCAA
rnacentral:lncRNA from 1 species